AUUGAACGCUGGCGGCAUGCUUUACACAUGCAAGUCGAACGGCAGCGCGGGCUUCGGCCUGGCGGCGAGUGGCGAACGGGUGAGUAAUUCAUCGGAACGUGCCCAGUAGUGGGGGAUAGCCCGGCGAAAGCCGGAUUAAUACCGCAUACGACCUGAGGGUGAAAGCGGGGGACCGAAAGGCCUCGCGCUAUUGGAGCGGCCGAUGUCGGAUUAGCUAGUUGGUGGGGUAAAGGCUUACCAAGGCGACGAUCCGUAGCUGGUCUGAGAGGACGACCAGCCACACUGGAACUGAGACACGGCCCAGACUCCUACGGGAGGCAGCAGUGGGGAAUUUUGGACAAUGGGGGCAACCCUGAUCCAGCCAUGCCGCGUGCGGGAAGAAGGCCUUCGGGUUGUAAACCGCUUUUGUUCGGGAAGAAAUCCUCUGGGCUAAUACCCCGGGGGGAUGACGGUACCGGAAGAAUAAGCACCGGCUAACUACGUG
rnacentral:rRNA from 1 species